GAUGGAUAGGGGUUCUGAGAGGAAGGUCCCCCACAUUGGUACUGAGACACGGACCAAACUCCUACGGGAGGCAGCAGUGAGGAAUAUUGGUCAAUGGCCGAGAGGCUGAACCAGCCAAGUCGCGUGAAGGAAGAAGGAUCUAUGGUUUGUAAACUUCUUUUAUAGGGGAAUAAAGUGGAGGACGUGUCCUUUUUUGUAUGUACCCUAUGAAUAAGCAUCGGCUAACUCCGUGCCAGCAGCCGCGGUAAUACGGAGGAUGCGAGCGUUAUCCGGAUUUAUUGGGUUUAAAGGGUGCGUAGGUGGUGAUUUAAGUCAGCGGUGAAAGUUUGUGGCUCAACCAUAAAAUUGCCGUUGAAACUGGGUUACUU
rnacentral:rRNA from 1 species